rnacentral:rRNA from 1 species
GAUGAACGCUGGCGGCGUGCCUAAUACAUGCAAGUCGAGCGAACGGACGAGAAGCUUGCUUCUCUGAUGUUAGCGGCGGACGGGUGAGUAACACGUGGAUAACCUACCUAUAAGACUGGGAUAACUUCGGGAAACCGGAGCUAAUACCGGAUAAUAUUUUGAACCGCAUGGUUCAAAAGUGAAAGACGGUCUUGCUGUCACUUAUAGAUGGAUCCGCGCUGCAUUAGCUAGUUGGUAAGGUAACGGCUUACCAAGGCAACGAUGCAUAGCCGACCUGAGAGGGUGAUCGGCCACACUAGAACUGGGACACGGUCCAGACUCCUACGGGAGGCAGCAGUAGGGAAUCGUCCGCAGUGGGCGGAAGCCUGACGGAGCAACGCCGCGUGAGUGAUGAAGGUCUUCGGAUCGGAAAACUCUGUUAUUAGGGAAGAACAUAUGUGUAAGUAACUGUGCACAUCGUGACGGUACCUAAUCAGAAAGCCACGGCUAACUACGUG